ensembl:lncRNA
AUAAAUGGAAUCAUACAGUCUGUAGCCUUGUACAUCUCUCUGGCUUGUUUCACUGAGAAGGAUGUUUUCAGGGUUCACUGAUGUCGCAGCAUGUGUCAGUACUUCAUUCCUUUUUAUGGCUGAGUAGUCCAAGGAAUAUUCCAUGGAAACAUUUUAUUAAUCCACUCAUCAGUUGACGGACAUUUGGGAUGUUUGGGCUUACUUUACAGGUGUAAUCAUGUAAGCAUAUUCUUUGCCUACUCCUUCCCACAAAUUAAGGAAAAUCAGUAGCAAAAUGAAGGGCAAGCAACUAAAACAGCCAGCAACUGACACACAGACAAGGAAAAGCACCUCUGGUUUUUAGGUUAAGCCAGUGAAGAGUGGGGCCGAGAUUUGGUGUCCACCUAGUUCAAAACCCCGAACACUUUCCAAGCCUAUGUUCUGAGUUGAGUCGAUCCACUAAACCAUCAAGUGCACCCAUGGGAAAGUCCUUGGAUCAGCAGGAAGAGCUACAAAUUACAGAUCAUUGGUUUUUAAUCUGUCUUCCAGAGACUCCUAAGAUUUCAUGGAAGCAACUCAUGGGCCACCAAGCGGGCUGUAGUUGGGGGUUAGAUAGGUAGAACUCUGAGCCUGGUCCCCAUCCCUGAUUUAAAUAGAACAGCCUCGAUUGAAUUGCUUUAUUUGUGGGGUUUCUUCUAAGAGUUAAUUUGGAACAAAUAAAGGGUGUUCUUGGCUUUAAAAGAGUUUGGCAAGCAUUGGUCAAAGUGGUUGUGGAAUUGCUGGACUGUGACUGGGCCUCCCUGACAGCUGCUCUUACGAGUUCUUCUGAGGAACCUUGAUGGUGACCGUCUUCACCUCUGUGUAGGCCUUAAGCCCAUCCUCACCCAGCUCCCUCCCAUUUCCAGAUUCCUUAAACCCUCCAAAUGGCGUGUGGCAGGUGAUGAUAUUGUAGGUGUUUACCCACACGGUCCCGGCCUGGAGUGCCUGGGUGAAGUACAUGGCCUUGUCCAGAUCCCGGGUGAACACAGCCGCAGCCAGGCCAUACCUGGUGUUGUUGGCCCUCUCAAUCACCUCCUCCAUCUUCUUGAACUUGAACAGGGGCUGCACAGGCCCAAAGAUCUCCUCUUUGGCAAUUCUCAUGUCAUCCUGCACGCCACCAAAGACAGUAGGCUUGAUGAAGAAACCACGCUCCCCGAAACGCUCUCCGCCACAGAGGAGUUUUGCGCCCUCCUUCUGGCCAAGCUGGAUGUAGCCUAGGACUCAUUCAAACUGCUCCUUGUCCACCUGAGGCCCCUGCUGGGUGUCCAGCUCAAAGGGGUUCCCCACUUUCCUCUGCUUUGCUUUCUCCACGGUUCUCUCGAGAAACUCAUUGUAGAUGGAUUCUUCCACGAAGGUCCGGGAGCCAGCACAGCAGCACUGGCCCAUGUUGAAGAACAGGGCUUCGUGGCACUGCUCCACGGCAUGCUCCAUGUCAGCAUCGGCCAGCACGAUGCUGGGGCUCUUACCACCCAGCUCCAGGGUGACUCUCUUGAGGUUGGAAUCACCAGCUGCUUUCUGGAUCAGGUGGCCCACCUCGGUGGAACCGGUGAAGGCAACUUUGUCAACAUCCAUGUGCUGUGCAAUGGCCGCACCUGCCCGUAAUGAUGUUCACCACCCCAGGGGGAAAGCCCGCCUCCUUGAUGAGGGAGGCCAAAUACAGGGCAGAGAGGGGGGUCUGCUCUGCCACCUUCAUAACCACAGUGUUGCCUGUGGCGAGUGCCGGGGCAAGUUUCCAACCCUGCAUGACCAAGGGGAAGUUCCACGGGAUGAUCUGGCCACAGACACCAACGGGCUCA